GGAGGAUUGUGUUCUCGUUCGGAGUGAAUAUUUGGUCAAGCAUCUUUGAGUGUGCUCUGAAUUGAUCGGUAUGGCCUUCUACGGCAACCUUGUAAAGAGAAUCCAUCAACUCGAAAUUCUUUUCUCGGACACUUAGUAGUCCUGCCCGUCGUGUCUCAGCAUUCUGGUUAUCAGAACCUGAAAGUGACGACGACAUUUUGCUGGUGAUGUGAUGUGGUCCCCCAAAUAGAAAUGGGAAGGAAGUGUUUGUGAAAGAUAGGAUUUUCUUUUCUUUUUUCCGUUUCCAAAAUGGAGAUGGCUAUUGGCUACGGUGCUGCUAAGUGCGCUUACCAAUUUAUAG
rnacentral:lncRNA from 1 species